rnacentral:rRNA from 1 species
GACGAACGCUGGCGGCGUGCUUAACACAUGCAAGUCGAGCGGUGAAACACCUUCGGGUGCGGAUUAGCGGCGAACGGGUGAGGAACACGUGAGGAAUCUGCCUUCCACUCUGGGAUAACUCCGGGAAAACGGGGCUAAUACCGGAUACUUUAAACUGGCGGCAUCGCAGUGUGAAGAAAGUUUUUCGGUGGAAGAUGACCGCGCGGCCUAUCAGCUGGUUGGUGAGGUAAAGGCUCACCAAGGCGACGACGGGUAGCAGGCCUGAGAGGCGACCGGCCACACUGGGACUGAGACACGGGCGAGACGACUACGUGAGGCAGCAGUAAGGAAUAUUGGACAAUGGGCGAAAGCCUGAUCCAGGCAUGCAGCGUGAAGGAUGAAGGCCCUAUGGGUCGUAAACUUCUUUUAAACGGGACGAAACCCCUCGACGUGUCGAGGGCUGACGGUACCGUAAGAAUAAGGGUCGGCUAACUUCGUGCC